rnacentral:rRNA from 1 species
CAAUAGCGUAUAUUAAAGUUGCUGCAGUUAAAAAGCUCGUAGUUGCAUUUCCGAGGCAAGGGAUUAGUCCGACCUUUGGUGGGUAUUUAAUCCUCUUGCCUCGUCCUUGAGUGGUGCUUCUUGGUAUUAAGUUAUCGAGGAGAUAGCCGCUCAUCGUUUACUGUGAGAAAAUUAGAGUGUUCGAAGCAGGCUUAUGCCGUUGAAUAUAUUAGCAUGGAAUAAUAAGAUAGGACCUCGGUACUAUUUUGUUGGUUUGAGAACCAAGGUAAUGAUGAAUAGGGACAGUUGGGGGUAUUCGUAUUCAGUUGUCAGAGGUGAAAUUCUUAGAUUUACGGAAGACGAACUACUGCGAAAGCAUUUACCAAGGAUGUUUUCAUUAA